rnacentral:rRNA from 1 species
UACGUAGGGUGCGAGCGUUGUCCGGAAUUAUUGGGCGUAAAGAGCUCGUAGGGGCUUGUCACGUCGGGUGUGAAAGCCCGGGGCUUAACCCCGGGUCUGCAUUCGAUACGGGCAGGCUAGAGUGUGGUAGGGGAGAUCGGAAUUCCUGGUGUAGCGGUGAAAUGCGCAGAUAUCAGGAGGAACACCGGUGGCGAAGGCGGAUCUCUGGGCCAUUACUGACGCUGAGGAGCGAAAGCGUGGGGAGCGAACAGG